GAUGAACGCUGGCGGCGUGCCUAAUACAUGCAAGUAGAACGCUGAAGGAGGAGCUUGCUCUUCUGGAUGAGUUGCGAACGGGUGAGUAACGCGUAGGUAACCUGCCUGGUAGCGGGGGAUAACUAUUGGAAACGAUAGCUAAUACCGCAUGACAACAGUUAUUGCAUGAUAACUGUUUAAAAGGGGCAACUGCUCCACUACCAGAUGGACCUGCGUUGUAUUAGCUAGUUGGUGAGGUAACGGCUCACCAAGGCGACGAUACAUAGCCGACCUGAGAGGGUGAUCGGCCACACUGGGACUGAGACACGGCCCAGACUCCUACGGGAGGCAGCAGUAGGGAAUCUUCGGCAAUGGACGGAAGUCUGACCGAGCAACGCCGCGUGAGUGAAGAAGGCUUUCGGAUCGUAAAGCUCUGUUGUAAGAGAAGAACGAGUGUGAGAGUGGAAAGUUCACACUGUGACGGUAUCUUACCAGAAAGGGACGGCUAACUACGUG
rnacentral:rRNA from 1 species